rnacentral:tRNA from 1 species
CAUCGGCUGGUCGAAGGACCAGCGUGACAGCGCCUUGGUGCCGACGCGUGGUCGCUACCAGCAGGCCAACCUGGAGUUCGGUAUCCCGGGCGGCGA